GGGGUUGUGGCUCAGUGGUAGAGCACUUGCCUAACAUGCACGAGGCACUGGGUUUGAUCUUCAGCACCUCA
rnacentral:tRNA from 1 species